rnacentral:lncRNA from 1 species
GUGGGGGGGUCAGCCCCCCGCCCGGCCAGACGCCCCGUCCGGGAGGGAGGUGGGGGGGUCAGCCCCCCGCCCGGCCAGCCGCCCCGUCCGGGAGGGAGGUGGGGGGGUCAGCCCCCCGCCCGGCCAGCCGCCCCGUCCGGGAGGGAGGUGGGGGGGUCAGCCCCCCGCCCGGCCAGCCGCCCCGUCCGGGAGGGAGGUGGGGGGGUCAGCCCCCAGCCCGGCCAGCCGCCCCGACCGGGAGGGAGGUGGGGGGGUUAGCCCCCCGCCCGGCCAGCCCCCCCAUCCGGGAGGGAGGUUGGGGGGUCAGCCCCCCGCCCGGCCAGCCGCCCCGUCCGGGAGGUGAGGGGCGCCUCUGCCCGGCCGCCCCUACUGGGAAGUGAGGAGCCCCUCUGCCCGGCCACCACCCCGUCUGGGAGGUGUACCCAACAGCUCAUUGAGAACGGGCCAGGAUGACAAUGGCGGCUUUGUGGAAUAGAAAGGGGGGAAAGGUGGGGAAAAGAUUGAGAAAUCGGAUGGUUGCCGUGUCUGUGUAGAAAGAAGUAGACAUGGGAGACUUUUCAUUUUGUUCUGUACUAAGAAAACUUCUUCUGCCUUGGGAUCCUGUUGAUCUGUGACCUUACCCCCAACCCUGUGCUCUCUGAAACAUGUGCUGUGUCCACUCAGGGUUAAAUGGAUUAAGGGCGGUGCAAGAUGUGCUUUGUUAAACAGAUGCUUGAAAGCAGCAUGCUCGUUAAGAGUCAUCACCACUCCCUAAUCUCAAGUACCCAGGGACACAAACACUGCGGAAGGCCGCAGGGUCCUCUGCCUAGGAAAACCAGAGACCUUUGUUCACUUGUUUAUCUGCUGACCUUCCCUCCACUAUUGUCCUAUGACCCUGCCAAAUCCCCCUCUGUGAGAAACACCCAAGAAUUAUCAAUAAAAAAUAAAUAAAUAAAAAAAAAAGAUUCAGUUCUGUACUCCAUUGAAAAUUUACAUUUCAUUUUUU